CCGGGCGUAGCUCAGGGAAAAGAGCGGGGCGGUCCUAACGCCCAGGUCGCUGGUUUGAAUCCAGUCGCCCGGUCCA
rnacentral:tRNA from 1 species